rnacentral:rRNA from 1 species
AACCUCCGCAAUGUACGAAAGUGCGACGGGGGGAUCCCAAGUGUUAUGCUUUUUUGUAUAACUUUUCAUUAGUGUAAAAAGCUUUUAGAAUAAGAGCUGGGCAAGACCGGUGCCAGCCGCCGCGGUAACACCGGCAGCUCGAGUGGUAGCUGUUUUAUUGGGCCUAAAGCGUUCGUAGCCGGUUUGAUAAGUCUUUGGUGAAAGCUUGUAGCUUAACUAUAAGAAUUGCUGGAGAUACUAUCAGACUUGAAGUCGGGAGAGGUUAGAGGUACUACCGGGGUAGGGGUGAAAUCCUAUAAUCCUGGGAGGACCACCUGUGGCGAAGGCGUCUAACUGGAACGAUCUUGACGGUGAGUAACGAAAGCCAGGGGCGCGAACCGGAUUAGAUACCCGGGUAGUCCUAACCGUAAACGAUGCGGACUUGGUGUUGGGGUGGCUUUGAGCUGCUCCAGUGCCGAAGGGAAGCUGUUAAGUCCGCCGCCUGGGAAGUACGGUCGCAAGACUGAAACUAAAGGAAGUU